rnacentral:lncRNA from 12 species
GCACACCAUGGAAUUGUUUCUGAUCUGUCCUCCUUGCUAGAUUGGGAUCAGAACAUGGAUUACCUGGAAUUGCUGGGGAACAGUGGUUUGAGGACAUUCCCAGAUGCUGGAGAUGAACCUGUUGGUGAAGGUGAUCUGGCUUCCAAACCCACAUUCAGGACUCAUACUCAGGGAGCUGGAGAGGGUAGGUCAAGGCCUUUCCCCCUGGGGGAGCUGCCAGCUCAGAGCCCAAAGCUCGGCCAGGGGGCAUCGCUGCAGGUGCCAGGACAGAGCCGUGCUCGUGUGUGCCCUCGCCCUGUGCAAUCCCCUCACUGCUCCUGCGGCUCAGUGCUGCCCAGCCAGAGCAGCAGAGAUGACAGAAGCUUGUGUGGCUGUUGAGUUACAGGUGUGUCUGCAGGGAGGAUUUCUCCAACUCCUGGCCUGGAUGCUGCACACAAACCCAGCUCCCAUCUCAGGGGUGAGUAGUGGGUUCCUGCUGAACCCACAGGCUGAGCACUGCUUUGCUGGUUACUGCACACAAACCCAGCUCCCAUCGCAGGGGUCCUCUGAAAUGGAAGAAGAAAACCACAGGAGAGGAAUCACAUGA